rnacentral:rRNA from 1 species
UACGUAGGGUGCAAGCGUUAUCCGGAAUUAUUGGGCGUAAAGAGCUCGUAGGCGGUUUGUCGCGUCUGCUGUGAAAACUGGAGGCUCAACCUCCAGCCUGCAGUGGGUACGGGCAGACUAGAGUGCGGUAGGGGAGAUUGGAAUUCCUGGUGUAGCGGUGGAAUGCGCAGAUAUCAGGAGGAACACCGGUGGCGAAGGCGGGUCUCUGGGCAAUAACUGACGCUGAGGAGCGAAAGCGUGGGGAGCGAACAGG